CAGUCGCCACGGUAAUACGGAGGGUGCAAGCGUUAUCCGGAUUUAUUGGGUUUAAAGGGUCCGUAGGCACUUAUAAGUCAGUGGUGAAAGCCUGUCGCUUAACGAUAGAACUGCCAUUGAUACUGUAAGUCUUGAGUAUAUUUGAGGUAGCUGGAAUAAGUAGUGUAGCGGUGAAAUGCAUAGAUAUUACUUAGAACACCAAUUGCGAAGGCAGGUUACCAAGAUAUAACUGACGCUGAGGGACGAAAGCGUGGGUAGCGAACAGGAUUAGAUACCCCAGUAGUCCCUGUCUCUUAUACAC
rnacentral:rRNA from 1 species